UACGGAGGGGACUAGCGUUGUUCGGAAUUACUGGGCGUAAAGCGCGCGUAGGCGGACUAUUAAGUCAGGGGUGAAAUCCCGGGGCUCAACCCCGGAACUGCCCUUGAUACUGGUAGUCUGGAGUUCUGGAGAGGUGAGUGGAAUAUCCAGUGUAGAGGUGAAAUUCGUAGAUAUUGGAUGGAACACCGAUGGCGAAGGCAGCUCGCUGGACCGGAACUGACGCUGAGGCACGAAAGCAUGGGUAGCGAACAGG
rnacentral:misc_RNA from 1 species